rnacentral:rRNA from 1 species
CCUACGGGUGGCAGCAGUGAGGAAUAUUGGUCAAUGGGCUUACGCCUGAACCAGCCAAGUCGCGUGAGGGAAGACUGCCCUAUGGGUUGUAAACCUCUUUUGUCAGGGAGCAACGCCGGCUACGUGUAGCCGGACUGAGAGUACCUGAAGAAAAAGCAUCGGCUAACUCCGUGCGAGAAGCCGCGGUAAUAUGGAGGAUGCGAGCGUUAUCCGGAUUUAUGGGGUUUAAAGGGUGCGUAGGCGGAAUGCCAAGUCAGCGGUAAAGUCGCGGGGCCCAACCGCGCUCCGCCGUUGAAACUGGCGUUCUUGAGUGGGCGAGAGGUAUGCGGAAUGCGUGGGGUAGCGGUGAAAUGCAUAGAUAUCACGCAGAACUCUGGUGGCGAAGGCAGCAUACCGGCGCCCAACUGACGCUGAAGCACGAAGGCGUGGGUAUCGAACAGGAUUAGAUACCCCAGUAGUC